AUUUAUAUAGUUUAUUAAAACAUAACACUUUCAUUGUUAAAUUGGAAAAAAUUUCCUUUAAAUA
rnacentral:tRNA from 1 species